AUGCACGCUGGCGGCGUGCCUAAUACAUGCAAGUCGAGCGAACAGACGAGGAGCUUGCUCCUCUGACGUUAGCGGCGGACGGGUGAGUAACACGCGGAUAACCUACCUAUAAGACUGGGAUAACUUCGGGAAACCGGAGCUAAUACCGGAUAAUAUAUUGAACCGCAUGGUUCAAUAGUGAAAGACGGUUUUGCUGUCACUUAUAGAUGGAUCCGCGCCGCAUUAGCUAGUUGGUAAGGUAACGGCUUACCAAGGCAACGAUGCGUAGCCGACCUGAGAGGGUGAUCGGCCACACUGGAACUGAGACACGGUCCAGACUCCUACGGGAGGCAGCAGUAGGGAAUCUUCCGCAAUGGGCGAAAGCCUGACGGAGCAACGCCGCGUGAGUGAUGAAGGUCUUCGGAUCGUAAAACUCUGUUAUUAGGGAAGAACAAAUGUGUAAGUAACUAUGCACGUCUUGACGGUACCUAAUCAGAAAGCCACGGCUAACUACGUG
rnacentral:rRNA from 1 species